AGCAGUCGCCGCGGGAAUACGAAGGGUGCAAGCGUUACUCGGAAUUACUGGGCGUAAAGCGUGCGUAGGUGGUGGUUUAAGUCCGUUGUGAAAGCCCUGGGCUCAACCUGGGAAUUGCAGUGGAUACUGGGUCACUAGAGUGUGGUAGAGGAUGGUGGAAUUCCCGGUGUAGCGGUGAAAUGCGUAGGGAUCGGGAGGAACAUCAGUGGCGAAGGCGGCCAUCUGGGACAACACUGACGCUGAGGCACGAAAGCGUGGGGAGCAAACAGGAUUAGAUACCCGCGUAGUCCCUGUCUCUUAUAC
rnacentral:rRNA from 1 species